rnacentral:tRNA from 1 species
GGCCCCGUAGCUCAGCGGAAUUAAGAGCGCUGUUUUCCGAAAGCAGAGGUCGUGGGUUCGAUCCCCACCGGGGCCG